AUGGCUCAGGAUGAACGCUGGCGGCGUGCCUAACACAUGCAAGUCGAACGGAGUACCGAGAGUUACUUUGGUACUUAGUGGCGGACGGGUGAGUAAUGUAUGAGCAACCUGCCUUUCGGAGGGGGACAACAGUUGGAAACGACUGCUAAUACCGCAUAAUGUACAGUGGGGGCAUCCCCGUUGUACCGAAGGAGCAAUCCGCCGAAAGAUGGGCUCAUAUCUGAUUAGUUAGUUGGCAGGGCAACGGCCUACCCAAGACUGCGAUCAGUAGCCGGACUGAGAGGUUGAACGGCCACAUUGGGACUGAGAUACGGCCCAGACUCCUACGGGAGGCAGCAGUGGGGAAUAUUGGGCAAUGGGCGAAAAAGCCUGACCCAGCAACGCCGCGUGAAGGAAGAAGGUCUUCGGAUUGUAAACUUCUUUUAUGAGGGACGAAGGACGUGACGGUACCUCAUGAAUAAGCCACGGCUAACUACGUGCCAGCCGCGGC
rnacentral:rRNA from 1 species